rnacentral:rRNA from 1 species
CGAACGCUGACGGCAGGCUUAACACAUGCAAGUCGAGCGAGGUUUUCGGACCUAGCGGCGGACGGGUGAGUAACGCGUGGGAACGUACCCUUUGCUACGGAAUAGUCCCGGGAAACUGGGUUUAAUACCGUAUGUGCCCUACGGGGGAAAGAUUUAUCGGCAAAGGAUCGGCCCGCGUUGGAUUAGGUAGUUGGUGGGGUAAUGGCCUACCAAGCCGACGAUCCAUAGCUGGUUUGAGAGGAUGAUCAGCCACACUGGGACUGAGACACGGCCCAGACUCCUACGGGAGGCAGCAGUGGGGAAUCUUAGACAAUGGGGGCAACCCUGAUCUAGCCAUGCCGCGUGAUCGAUGAAGGCCUUAGGGUUGUAAAGAUCUUUCAGCGGGGAAGA